GACGAACGCUGGCGGUGUGCUUAACACAUACAAGUCGAACGGUAAGGCCCUUUCGGGGGUACACGAGUGGCGCACGGGUGAGUAACACGUGAGUAACCUGCCCUCAUCUCUGGGAUAACAGUCGGAAACGGUUGCUAAUACUGGAUAUGAGCCUGCAAGGCAUCUUGUGGGUUGGAAAGAUUUUUUGGUUGGGGAUGGACUCGCGGCCUAUCAGCUUGUUGGUGAGGUAGUGGCUCACCAAGGCUUCGACGGGUAGCCGGCCUGAGAGGGCGACCGGCCACAUUGGGACUGAGAUACGGCCCAAACUCCUACGGGAGGCAGCAGUGGGGAAUAUUGCACAAUGGACGGAAGUCUGAUGCAGCAACGCCGCGUGCGGGAUGACGGCCUUCGGGUUGUAAACCGCUUUCAAUUGUGACGAAGCUUUUUGUGACGGUAGCAGUAGAAGAAGCACCGGCUAACUACGUG
rnacentral:rRNA from 1 species